CCAGCUCCUGGCUUCUCACAUACCGCUGCUGGCUGGGCGGGUUGCUUCUCUCUGGGCCUCAGUUUCCCCUCUGUAAAGUGGGACUGUCCAAGGAGGUCCCUCGCUGGCCCCCCGUGCAGGGAGGGCUUCAGGCUGCGGCAGGUGGAAUUCCAGAACAAGUUCUACUCAGGCACGGGCUACAAGCUGAGUCCCUUCACCUUCGCUGCCACAGAUGACUAGGG
rnacentral:lncRNA from 1 species